GAUGAACGCUAGCUACAGGCUUAACACAUGCAAGUCGAGGGGCAGCGGGGAGGAUGCUUGCAUUCUCUGCCGGCGACCGGCGCACGGGUGAGUAACGCGUAUCCAACCUACCUCUAACUAAGGAAUAGCCCGUUGAAAGACGGAUUAAUGCCUUAUGUUCUCUUUUGCAGGCAUCUAAUGAAGAGUAAAGACUUGUUGGUUAGGGAUGGGGAUGCGUCCGAUUAGCUUGACGGUGAGGUAACGGCUCACCGUGGCGACGAUCGGUAGGGGUUCUGAGAGGAAGGUCCCCCACAUUGGAACUGAGACACGGUCCAAACUCCUACGGGAGGCAGCAGUGAGGAAUAUUGGUCAAUGGGCGAGAGCCUGAACCAGCCAAGUAGCGUGCAGGAUGACGGCCCUAUGGGUUGUAAACUGCUUUUAUAAGGGAAUAAAGUGAGAGUCGUGACUCUUUUUGCAUGUACCUUAUGAAUAAGGACCGGCUAAUUCCGUG
rnacentral:rRNA from 1 species